GACAGAGGGUGCAAACGUUGUUCGGAAUUACUGGGCGUAAAGCGCGUGUAGGCGGCCCUGCAAGUCGGAUGUGAAAUCCCACGGCUCAACCGUGGAAGUGCAUUCGAAACUGCAGGGCUAGAGUCCUGGAGAGGAAGGUGGAAUGCUUGGUGUAGAGGUGAAAUUCGUAGAUAUCUGGAGGAACACCGGUGGCGAAGGCGGCAUCCUGGACCGGCAUUGACGCUGAGGAGCGAAAGCCAGGGGAGCAAAGCGGG
rnacentral:rRNA from 1 species